rnacentral:rRNA from 1 species
CCUACGGGUGGCAGCAGUGAGGAAUAUUGGUCAAUGGGCGUAAGCCUGAACCAGCCAAGUCGCGUGAGGGAUGAAGGUUCUAUGGAUCGUAAGCCUCUUUUAUAAGGGAAUAAAGUGUGGGACGUGUCCUGUUUUGUAUGUACCUUAUGAAUAAAGAUCGGCUAACUCCGUGCCAUCAGCCGCGGUGAUAAGGAGGAUCCGAGCGUUAUCCGGUUUUAUUGGGUUUAAAGGGUGCGUAGGGGGCCUUUUAAGUCAGGGGUGAAAGUCUGUGGCUCAACCAUAGAAUUGCUGUUGAAACUGGGAGGCUUGAGUAUGUUAGAGGCAGGCGGAAUGCGUGGUGUAGCGGUGAAAUGCUUAGAUAUAACGCAGAACACCGAUUGCGAAGGCAGCCUGCCAGGCCAUGACUGACGCUGAUGCACGAAAGCGUGGGGAUCAAACAGGAUUAGAUACCCUAGUAGUC